AUGUGGCUUUUCGGCAAGGUGAUGUUCACAGAGAAUCAUGUCACCACUAUUAGCGUGCUCUACAUCCCUAUGGCACUCGAGAUAGCGAGCGCUCAGACGACGGAUCAGAUCAGACAGAGAAGUUGGGGUUCGACGGUCUUAGCGGCUACAUACCGAGGUAUGUGCAACGGUUGCCAGCUUACAUCGAGAAAGCCAACCCUUCUUGGAUGCCCUUUAUUCCUACAACUAUGGUCGUGGGAGAGGUUCUCUAUAGGGCGACCAAAUGUACGUGUUCGUGAGCCUAUAGACGCCAUGUUUGAUGCUGACGGCAUCGACACGCCUACUUUCGGUCUGUGUUGGACACGUCGCGAGAGACGCUUUGCUAGUGAUUAG
rnacentral:rRNA from 1 species